CAGAAAAUAGUUUAUUAAAAAUGGUAAUUUUGGGGAUUACGGAUGAUAUUUUUCUUUUCUGA
rnacentral:tRNA from 1 species